GCGGCUUAAUUUGACUCAACGCGGGGUAAUUUACCAGGUAUAACAUGGUAUAAUAUUUUAUCAUGAUAGUGGUGCAUGGCCGUUUCCAAUGGAUGCUGUGAAGUAAUGAUUAAUUUCAACAAGAUGUGAGACCCUCAUUUAGACAGAUGUAGUGAUACAUAUGAAGGAGAGGAUUAAAACAGGUCCGUUAUGCCCUAAGAUAAUCUGGGUUGCACGCGCAAUACAAUAAUAUUUGAUAUUAUGAGGGAUAAUAUAAUGUAAGAUAUAUUUGAACAUGGAAUUGCUAGUAAAUUUUAUUUAAUAAGUAGAAUUGAAUGCGUCCCUGUUCUUUGUACACACCGCCCGUCGCUAUCUAAGAUGGUAUUAUCUAUGAACAAAUUUAUAAAGUGAAUAGAUAGUACUAGAUCUGAUAUAAGUCGUAACAUGGUUGCUGUUGGAGAACCAUUAGCAGGAUCAUAA
rnacentral:rRNA from 1 species